GACGAACGCUGGCGGCGUGCUUAACACAUGCAAGUCGAACGGAAAGGCCCUGCUUUUGUGGGGUGCUCGAGUGGCGAACGGGUGAGUAACACGUGAGUAACCUGCCCUUUACUUUGGGAUAACUUCAGGAAACUGGGGCUAAUACCGGAUAGGAGCUCCUGCUGCAUGGUGGGGGUUGGAAAGUUUCGGCGGUUGGGGAUGGACUCGCGGCUUAUCAGCUUGUUGGUGGGGUAGUGGCUUACCAAGGCUUUGACGGGUAGCCGGCCUGAGAGGGCGACCGGCCACAUUGGGACUGAGAUACGGCCCAGACUCCUACGGGAGGCAGCAGUGGGGAAUAUUGCACAAUGGGCGGAAGCCUGAUGCAGCAACGCCGCGUGCGGGAUGACGGCCUUCGGGUUGUAAACCGCUUUCGCCUGUGACGAAGCGUGAGUGACGGUAAUGGGUAAAGAAGCACCGGCUAACUACGUG
rnacentral:rRNA from 1 species